GGGGGCGAUUCUGGAUUCGACGUGGGUUACAAACCUCCGGGUGCAUGCCGAGAUGACAGCCAAUCUCGUUAAUCCAAAGCUGUAAUAGUUAUAGUCGCAAACGACGAAAACUACGCUCUAGCAGCUUAAACCCUGUUAGCGGUUGAUACUGGAUGCUAGUAAACAGGACUCAACUGUCAUAGAGAACUAGAUCGCAGCAAAGCGUGCCUGAAGCAGCGCUGCUAAACACUUUUCAGGAUCGCUGUUAUCGUCCCGCCCGCUGGGCUGAUAACGGUUAACUCAAUAAGCGGACCUAAGCAUGUAGAGCCUCGAGCAGCGGACUGACGGACGCGGGUUCAAAUCCCGCCGCCUCCACCA
rnacentral:tmRNA from 1 species